GACGAACGCUGGCGGCGUGCCUAAUACAUGCAAGUUGAGCGCUCAGGGUUGGUGCUUGUACCAACUGGAUGAGCAGCGAACGGGUGAGUAACGCGUGGGGAAUCUGCCUUUGAGCGGGGGACAACAUUUGGAAACGAAUGCUAAUACCGCAUAAAAACUUUAAACACAAGUUUUAAGUUUGAAAGGUGCAAUUGCAUCACUCAAAGAUUAUCCCGCGUUGUAUUAGCUAGGUGGUGAGGUAAAGGCUCACCAAGGCGAAGAUACAUAACCGAACUGGAAAGGUGAUCCGCCCCAAUGGGAAUUGGGCACGGCCCAAACUCCUACGGGAGGGAACAAGAGGGGAACUUCGGGAAUAGGCGAAAGGCUGAACGGGCAAAGCCGGGGUGGGGAAGGAGGGUCUCGGGUCGGAAAACUCUGUUUGUAGGGAAGAACGUUGGUGAGAGUGGAAAGCGCAUCAAGUGACGGUACCUAACCAGAAAGGGACGGCUAACUACGUG
rnacentral:rRNA from 1 species